UCCCAGUGACUGUCCCCUCGUGGGCCUCAUAGCCCAGGCAGCAUUCAAAAAUCAGCACAUCCCAGAAGUACUCUUUUGGUAACUGACGAGAGCUGAGGCUACAUGCUGAGGUUUUCCAUUCCUGCCAGAAAAGAGUUUUGGACAAGAAGCAGCUCUGAACUGAACCAAAACUGAAUGCCCAAACUACAAUUCUACAGGAUUUCAGUAUUAUUUUAUGUUCCCUGAGUCCUGAGGAAUUGAUGGCACCGAUGGAAGCAAGACUAACGAGGAUUGUUCUGUACAGCUGAGCACUGCAGACAGAAGACAAUCAGAGGAGAACAUGCUGUGCAGUGACUCUCUCCACCAUGUGAAGAAGCUGGUGAAAUGCCCUGAAGCCUCCCACAGUUGAGCUGUGAUUAAGAGAGUCAGCACAGGUCCUGUGAGCGUGUCUAACUCUAGUGUCAUGGCCCCUGUGUGCAGCGGUUGAAAGUUGGAUCUUUCAAAGGUGAUAAAACGACCUCUUUACAGCAAUAAGGAUAAUACAACUUCAGGAGAUUAUUACUAGGGGGGGGGGAGAAGUUGGCUGCUGCUGCAGUCUUCGGUAAAAGAUAGGGUAACUUUUAAAAGGUGUGGUUUUGUCAUUGAAAUCAGCCUCUGUGAUAAAGUAAAGCUCACCAAAUGUUUUCAGUGUAAAUGUUAGGGAAAAUGAAAAUCUAACUU
rnacentral:lncRNA from 1 species